UUAUAAAAAUUUAAUAAUUUUGUAUAUAUAUAUAUAUAUAUAUCAUUUGUAAUAAAAAAAAUUUAAAAUUUUUAUAAUUUUUUAUAAGUUUCCAGUAAUAAACUAUGUAUAAUAAACGGUUUAAUAGUUUUUUUAAAAAUGUUUAUAAAACCAUUUGUAAAUAUAUAAAUGAAAACAUUAAAAAUAGAUAUGAUUUGAAAAGAUUUUUGAUG
rnacentral:lncRNA from 1 species